rnacentral:lncRNA from 1 species
UAGCUACUUGCUAAUCAAUACCUUUGAUUCAGCAUUGCACUGCAGUCUUCCUACUGUUCUCUGAUGGCUUGAAGUGAUGACACCGUGUGAUGACAAAAUCAUUUCAGCCUUCCUCAAUAGAUCUUCCUGCACCAUUUCUGCAACUCUCAUUUGCACAUAUGACCUCGUGCCAGGACACAGCAUCACAACCCUGCCCUGUCUUGAGUGUACACGGACAAGCCAUACCAGAGCUGGGCUCCAGUAACACCUACUGUGCAAUGCACCAAACCAUCGGCACUCUGUGGAGGAAAAAGAAAAAUGGGGAUCUUUCUCAGACUUCUUUUUUCUCUUUUCCAAACAUUUCUGAACUCUGUGUGACCUCCUUUACAACUGAAUCCAAGCACCUCUAAAUACAUAGCAAAGGUAGUCAGAAGAAAGCUGAGUAUCUCAUCACAAACUGAAAGAAGCUAAAAAAAAAAAAAAAAAAAGGAGUUGAAAUAAACAAAGCUGAAGGUGAAAAUUAACUGUCUUAGAGGAGAGCAAAUUGAAAUAAAAAAUGUGGAUUGGAAUAUUAAAAGUACUGUGGACUGUGCAAUCUGUCCACCAUUCUCUUCCUCUUUGCCGUCCGUCCCACUCCCUAAAAAGCAUUUAAGCUGCAGGGGGAUAAUAUCACACUUGGGAAUUAUGAAAUAAAACCAAUGAGAGCAGUGGGAGUAACGUCACUCCUGUAAAUGAUCAAAACCCACCAAUUACAG